UUAAGUUCAGCGGGUAGUCUUACUUGAUUUGAGAUCGAGUUUAACAAGAAUCGUUGCCGACCCUUGUGAAAUCCUGCAUCAGUCAGCCAAAACGUCAAACUCCCUUUAUAUUAGCUGCAGCAAAAGUAAUAAUCCGUUUGACGGGACUAAAUAAAUAUGCUUUUAGCUCAGGAGAAUGUCCAGCUGCACCUGCAUUUCAA
rnacentral:misc_RNA from 1 species